rnacentral:rRNA from 1 species
CCUACGGUGGCUGCAGUGGGGAAUAUUGGACAAUGGGCGAAAGCCUGAUCCAGCCAUGCCGCGUGUGUGAAGAAGGCCUUCGGGUUGUAAAGCACUUUCAGUGGGGAAGAAAGCCUUGGGGCUAAUACCCUCGAGGAAGGACAUCACCCACAGAAGAAGCACCGGCUAACUCCGUGCCAGCAGCCGCGGUAAUACGGAGGGUGCGAGCGUUAAUCGGAAUUACUGGGCGUAAAGCGCGCGUAGGCGGUCUGAUAAGCCGGUUGUGAAAGCCCCGGGCUCAACCUGGGAACGGCAUCCGGAACUGUCAGGCUAGAGUGCAGGAGAGGAAGGUAGAAUUCCCGGUGUAGCGGUGAAAUGCGUAGAGAUCGGGAGGAAUACCAGUGGCGAAGGCGGCCUUCUGGACUGACACUGACGCUGAGGUGCGAAAGCGUGGGUAGCAAACAGGAUUAGAUACCCGGUAGUC